GUGUCAGCAGCCGCGGUAAGACGGAGGCCCCGAGCGUUGUUCGGAAUCACUGGGCUUAAAGCGCGUGUAGGCGGGACGGUAAGUACCUUGUGAAAUCCCCGGCUUCAACCCGGGAACUGCUCGGUAUACUGCCGUUCUUGAGGCAGGUAGGGGUCGCUGGAACCUUAGGUGGAGCGGUGAAAUGCGUAGAUAUCUAAGGGAACGCCUGUGGCGAAAGCGGGCGACUGGGCCUGUCCUGACGCUGAGACGCGAAAGCGUAGGGAGCAAACGGGAUUAGAAACCCCCGUAGUCC
rnacentral:rRNA from 1 species